rnacentral:rRNA from 1 species
CUACGGGGGGCUGCAGUGGGGAAUAUUGCACAAUGGGCGCAAGCCUGAUGCAGUCAUGCCGCGUGUGUGAAGAAGGCCUUCGGGUUGUAAAGCACUUUCAGCGGGGAGGAAGGCGUUAAGGUUAAUAACCUUGUCGAUUGACGUUACCCGCAGAAGAAGCACCGGCUAACUCCGUGCCAGCAGCCGCGGUAAUACGGAGGGUGCAAGCGUUAAUCGGAAUUACUGGGCGUAAAGCGCACGCAGGCGGUCUGUCAAGUCGGAUGUGAAAUCCCCGGGCUCAACCUGGGAACUGCAUUCGAAACUGGCAGGCUAGAGUCUUGUAGAGGGGGGUAGAAUUCCAGGUGUAGCGGUGAAAUGCGUAGAGAUCUGGAGGAAUACCGGUGGCGAAGGCGGCCCCCUGGACAAAGACUGACGCUCAGGUGCGAAAGCGUGGGGAGCAAACAGGAUUAGAUACCCGAUAGUC